rnacentral:lncRNA from 1 species
AGCUCCUGGGGCACUCUGGAGUAUCACAACGCCAUGGUGGUGGGAACGGAAGAGGCGGAGGAUGGCUCGGCGGGUGUCCGUGUGCUUUACCUGUACCCCACUCACAAGUCUCUGAAGCCGUGCCCGUUCUUCCUGGAGGGAAAGUGCCGCUUUAAGGAGAACUGCAGAUGGAGUCUCACUCUAUAGCCUAGGCUGGAGUGCAAUGGCUUGAUCUUGG